rnacentral:rRNA from 1 species
AUGGCGGGUCGCGCUAUUUUGCUCAUCGUCCUCGUCCUGACAGCGCGCUCGUACGGGUGCACGGCGGCCUACGUAGGCGACGGCGGGUUUAGCGUGGAGUUCAUCCACCGGGACUCUGUCAAGUCGCCGCUCCACGACCGGUCGCUCACCCUGCACGACCGCGUGCUUGCCGCCGUGCGGCGUUCCACAGCGCGCCCGUACGCCGGCGGCGAUCCUAGCGGCGGCGUGGCCGAGAUCGUGUCCACUCCGUACGAGUACCUGAUGUACGUCAGAGUCGGCACGCCGCCCACCCGGAUGCUCGCCCUCGCUGACACCGGCAGCAACCUCGUGUGGUUCAAAUGCAGAAACGGAACCUCUAUCUCCGGCGCUCCGCCAGCCGCCGGGGGAGCGCCGGUGAGCCCCGUGUUCGACCUGUCCUCCUCGUCGUCCUACGGCCUUGUGGCCUGCCGGUUGCCCUCGUGCCAGGCGAUCUACGGCACGUCCUGCGACGCCAACUCAUUCUGCCAGUACCAGUCCUCCUACGGCGACGGCUCCACCACGUCCGGCAUCCUCUCCACCGAGACCUUCUACUUCGACGACGCUCCCGGCGGCUGUGUUGGAUGCCGCGAGCGUCCGCAGCUGCAUCUGUCCAGGGUCAACUUCGGCUGCGCCACGAAAGCGACCGGCAACACGUUCCAACUGGCCGGCUACGUCGGCCUCGGCGCCGGGAACGGCUCCCUCGUGAACCAGAUCGGCGCCUUGACGUCGCUCGGCCGGAGAUUCGCCUACUGUCUCGCGCCCUUCUACGUCAACGUCUCCUCCAUCCUCGACUUCGGCGCCCGCGCCACCGUGACGGAGCCGGGCGCGGUGACCACGCCGCUGAUCCCCUCGGCCAUGGACGCCUUCUACACUAUCUUGCUCACGUCCGUCAAGAUCGGGAGCUCGACCAUCGCGCCGCCGAAGCCGUACCCCGUCAUCGUCGACUCUGGCACGACGCUUACGUUCCUCGACAAGGCGCUGCUGGACCCGAUCGUGGAGGAGAUCAGUCGGAGCAUCAAGCUCCCGCGCAAGCAGUCGCCGGAGAAGCAGCUGGGUCUGUGCUACGACGUGGGCGUGGGCGGUGCGACGCAGGAUUGGAAGAAGCAUUUCCCGGAAGUGACGCUGGAGUUUGGCGGCGGCGCCGCAAUUACGCUGCAGGCGCGGAACGCGUUCGCGGAGCUGCCGGUGGGGACCGUGUGCUUGGCUAUGGCGCCGGUGACGGACGAUCGGUCGGUGACGAUAAUCGGGAACAUCGCGCAGCAGAACUUCCGGGUAGGCUUCGACCUGGACAAGGGCACCGUCACCUUCGCCGCUGCCGACUGCGCGAGCUCCUACCCCUCUCCUCCCGCCUCUGUCUCUUUGUAG